AUCCAGCCGAUGAGUCCUAAAAUAGGACGAAACACGUGUCCUAGAU
rfam:Schistosoma curassoni strain Dakar, Senegal genome assembly, scaffold: SCTD_contig0001183